UCCUUUCUUUUUAAAUAAGACUUACUAGUGAGUGAUAAAAGCAAAUUUGUAAAAUUUAAUUAAUGUAUAUUAUAUGGUGUAAAAUGUGAAAUGUAUUAUUGAUAUUAUCCUCAAAUGGAAAAUGCUUAAAUAGUGUAAACAGAAAGUAGUGUAUACAAUGUUCCAAAAAUGUUUCCUGAGUUAAAAUCGUGAAGAAUUUCACUGACCAGUUUACAGCUUUCAGUCUUUAUACAGAGCGAAGAUCGCCGUAAACAACCAGUUGAACUCCCAAUCAUGCGGCAUGCCAAGCCAUGUAGUACGAGUAAUCUGUCAACCAAUUUAUUGUCAUCCUCGUUUGCCCUUCUGUUUCAAUUGGCGCCACAUUCACAUUCUCGCUCUCUCCGUAAUACAUUUGACCUUAUUCGACUGGAUUCAUUCGUAGCGUCCUUCGCAUUUAACCUUGGUACUGUUUUUGAUUCUUGGCGACAACUUUUGCUGCAUUUCUGCAUUUAGCUGAAUAUGUUGCUUUUACUUUCAUAAUGUUUUUUAAUUGAAAAUAUUAAUAUACAUAUAUACGAGUACAUAGUAUAUAUACACAUACUGUUUUUUGGGGGAAAUAUAACUAGCUAAAAGAAAAUGAUUUCUAAUGAUAUCAAUCAAAAUUUUUCAGCUAAGGUUUGAACAGAGUGGAACGUUUAUGUUUUUUGACUUUUGGUUUUAGUUCUCAAUAUGUGGAUAGUCGAAAAAGUCUUUUCGUAGUUUGUCAAUAGAUGUCGUUACAGUCGUAUAUCUCCAGUGCUACCAA